rnacentral:rRNA from 1 species
CCUACGGGAGGCAGCAGUGAGGAAUAUUGGUCAAUGGACGAGAGUCUGAACCAGCCAAGUAGCGUGAAGGAUGACUGCCCUAUGGGUUGUAAACUUCUUUUAUAUGGGAAUAAAAUGUUCCACGUGUGGGAUUUUGUAUGUACCAUAUGAAUAAGGAUCGGCUAACUCCGUGCCAGCAGCCGCGGUAAUACGGAGGAUCCGAGCGUUAUCCGGAUUUAUUGGGUUUAAAGGGAGCGUAGGUGGAUUGUUAAGUCAGUUGUGAAAGUUUGCGGCUCAACCGUAAAAUUGCAGUUGAAACUGGCAGUCUUGAGUACAGUAGAUGUGGGCGGAAUUCGUGGUGGAGCGGUGAAAUGCUUAGAUCUCACGAAGAACUCCGAUUGCGAAGGCAGUUCACUGGACUGCAACUGACACUGAGGCUCGAAAGUGUGGGUAUCAAACAGGAGUAGAUACCCCAGUAGUC